CUGGAGACUAAGAACGGAGUCCUUGAAGUCAAGCCGACUCUGCCUGGAGCCUCCUAAAUGAAAAGGUAGAGAGAACAGGUCUUGGCUGCAAGGGAAACCCAAGACCUGCUUAUCUACCGACAGCA